rnacentral:rRNA from 1 species
GAUGAGUGCUGGCGGCGUGCCUAACACAUGCAAGUCGAGCGGUAACAGAUCUAGCUUGCUAGAUGCUGACGAGCGGCGGACGGCUGAGUAACGCGUGGGAACAUACCCCAAAGUGAGGGAUAACCGCCCGAAAGGGUGGCUAAUACCGCAUAUGGUCUUCGGAUUAAAGGAUUUAUCCGCUUUGGGAAUGGCCUGCGUACGAUUAGAUAGUUGGUGAGGUAAUGGCUUACCAAGUCUACGAUCGUUAACUGGUUUGAGAGGAUGAUCAGUCAGACUGGAACUGAGACACGGUCCAGACUCCUACGGGAGGCAGCAGUGAGGAAUCUUCCACAAUGGGCGGAAGCCUGAUGGAGCAACGCCGCGUGCAGGAUGAAGGCCUUCGGGUUGUAAACUGCUUUUAUAAGUGAAGAAUAUGACGGUAACUUAUGAAUAAGCACCGGCUAACUACGUGCCAGCAGCCGCCGUA